GGCACAUACACACAGACAGACAUUAAAACAUUCACAGAUACAUACUGACACACACAUACACUGACACACAAAUAUAUCCUGGCAGACAUACUGACACACACGUACACACACACACAUACACAGACAUACUGGCAUACACACAGACAUACUGACACACACACACACACAGACAUACUGGCAUACACACAGACAUACUGACACACACACACACAGACAUACUG